rnacentral:rRNA from 1 species
UACGUAGGGGGCAAGCGUUGUCCGGAAUCAUUGGGCGUAAAGAGCUCGUAGGCGGUUUGUCGCGUCUGCUGUGAAAACCCGAGGCUCAACCUCGGGCCUGCAGUGGGUACGGGCAGACUAGAGUGCGGUAGGGGAGAUUGGAAUUCCUGGUGUAGCGGUGGAAUGCGCAGAUAUCAGGAGGAACACCGAUGGCGAAGGCAGAUCUCUGGGCCGUAACUGACGCUGAGGAGCGAAAGCAUGGGGAGCGAACAGG